UACGAAGGGGGCUAGCGUUGCUCGGAAUCACUGGGCGUCAAGGGCGCGUAGGCGGCACAGCAAGUCGGGAGUGAAAGCCCGGGGCUCAACCCCGGAACUGCUUUCGAAACUGCUGAGCUAGAGUACAGAAGGGGCAACCGGAAUUCCCAGUGUAGCGGUGAAAUGCGUAGAUAUUGGGAAGAACACCUGAGGCGAAGGCGGGUUGCUGGGCUGAUACUGACGCUGAGGCGCGAAAGCCAGGGGAGCAAACGGG
rnacentral:rRNA from 1 species